AACUUUCAACAACGGAUCUCUUGGUUCCGGCAUCGAUGAAGAACGCAGCGAAAUGCGAUAAGUAAUGUGAAUUGCAGAAUUCCGUGAAUCAUCGAAUCUUUGAACGCACAUUGCGCCCUCUGGUAUUCCGGGGGGCAUGCCUGUUCGAGCGUCAUUGCAACCCCCUCAAGCACG
rnacentral:rRNA from 1 species